rnacentral:rRNA from 1 species
UAGAGCAUCGAUGAACAACGCAGCGAAUUGCGAUAAGUAAUGUGAAUUGCAGAAUUACGUGAAUCAUCGAAUCUUUGAACGCAUAUUGCACUCCCUGGUAAUCCGGGGAGUAUGCCUGUUUGAGGGUCAGUAAAAAUAAAUAUUAUCAUGAUCUUAAUAUCAGAUCGUGGAAUUGGAUCAUUUCGAAGGUAUAUCCUUUGAUGAUCUUAAAUUUAAGGCUGCAUUAUAAAUUGAACUAAAAAGAGCAAUUAUUUAUAAUUUAUCUCGAACUUGGUGACGUUUAUAGGCCUAAUAUGAUUUUUUUGGUGUUUACACCAAAAGUCAUAAACAUUUUUAACAAUGACCUCAAAUCAGGUAAGAGUACCCGCUGAACUUAAGCAUAUCAAUAAGCGGAGGA